UUACGGUCAAAUCACGCUGAAAACACCGGUUCUGGUUCGAUCACCGAAGUUAAGCAUCGUAGAGCCAGGUCAGUACUUAGAUGGGGCACCGCUUGGGAACACCUGGUACUGUAAG
rnacentral:rRNA from 1 species